GAGACAGCAGUCGCCGCGGUAAUACAGAGGGUGCGAGCGUUAAUCGGAUUUACUGGGCGUAAAGCGUGCGUAGGCGGCUUUUUAAGUCGGAUGUGAAAUCCCUGAGCUUAACUUAGGAAUUGCAUUCGAUACUGGGAAGCUAGAGUAUGGGAGAGGAUGGUAGAAUUCCAGGUGUAGCGGUGAAAUGCGUAGAGAUCUGGAGGAAUACCGAUGGCGAAGGCAGCCAUCUGGCCUAAUACUGACGCUGAGGUACGAAAGCAUGGGGAGCAAACAGGAUUAGAUACCCCGGUAGUCCCUGUCUCUUAUAC
rnacentral:rRNA from 1 species